AGAGUUUGAUCCUGGCUCAGGAUGAACGCUAGCGGGAGGCCUAACACAUGCAAGCCGAGCGGUAGAGAUUCUUCGGAAUCUUGAGAGCGGCGUACGGGUGCGGAACACGUGUGCAACCUACCUUUAUCUGGAGGAUAGCCUUUCGAAAGGAAGAUUAAUACUCCAUAAUAUAUUUGAUGGCAUCAUUAAAUAUUGAAAGCUCCGGCGGAUAGAGAUGGGCACGCGCAAGAUUAGCUAGUUGGUGAGGUAACGGCUCACCAAGGCAAUGAUCUUUAGGGGCCUGAGAGGGUGAUCCCCCACACUGGUACUGAGACACGGACCAGACUCCUACGGGAGGCAGCAGUGAGGAAUAUUGGUCAAUGGGUGCAAGCCUGAACCAGCCAUCCCGCGUGAAGGACGACUGCCCUAUGGGUUGUAAACUUCUUUUGUAUAGGGAUAAACCUACUCUCGUGAGAGUAGCUGAAGGUACUAUACGAAUAAGCACCGGCUAACUCCGUG
rnacentral:rRNA from 1 species